AAAAUCAAAAGACUUAAAUGUCAUUAAUGAAUUUUAUUAAUCAUUUGUAAAAAUAAGAGUAUUUUUGAAAAAACUACAAUUUUUAUUAAGGGUAUAAUUUGUGAAUGAUCCCCUUUUAAUGGUAUUGAUUUACAUCAUCAUCCACUUUGUCGGGUCCGUCUUCAUGCUCUGUCGGCACUGAAUCUUAUCAGGAUCAUGGAUAAAUGCCAUGUGAUCUGUAAACAUGGCUUCCUAACAGACAGAAACCCCACGUACGCUGUCUCCCAAAACUUGAUUCGGAUAAUACUGAAAUGAAUAUGCAAUUAUUAUGAUUGUUAUUUGGUUUUCCUCUAGUGUUGAAAAUAUAUAGUCAGCCAAAAGACAUGAAGCGCAUCUGGUGUAGUGGUAUCAUAGUACCCUCCCACGGUACUGACCAGGGUUCGAUUCCCUGGAUGCGCAUUUUUUUUUGUGCAAGUGUUCCGGUUUGGUUUGCAUAGGCUUUUUGGGUUUUGUUAACGAUUAGUAGUGGAAACUGGCUUAGAUGCAUUCAGAUUAUCCACCUCUUGGCCUAGGCUUAUUCCCAGUUAGUAUCUUCUUAAACUUAUGCUCCUCUAGCUCUUUCCAUUUUCUUUAACUGGAAGGAAUCCAUUAAGAUCAUGAGUUCUUGAUUGUCUCAUUAAUUGGAUGGAAGAGGUUCUGUUAACCCGAAAGGUCUAGAAUUCUACAAGAACUUCAUCCAUGAACUUGUAACCCACGGUGAGACCCGUCUUCAUAUUUUCUGCGGUGUUUGGUUGUAGUUCCUUUUAACUGGAAUCUGAAGUAAUAACCUUACUGCGUACUACAGGAAUUGAACCACAUAUAUGUUACACUGUACCACUACGAUCAUCCUCAGUCUCUCGAGGAUAAGUAUGGAGAGCAAAGACUUUACUGCUUACGCAGAUGUUUGCUUCAGAGAGUUUGGGAGCCACGUCAAAUUCUGGACCACGAUCAAUGAGGCUAAUAUAUUCAGUACUGGAGGCUACAACAAUAGGGUUACACCACUUGGUCGUUUGUUCGGCCUGCUUCUCAGGGAACUCUUCCACUGAACCAUAUAUGGCUUGCCCACGCCUCUGCUUCUAGACUAUGGUUUUGAAUGGUGACAUGAGUUACCAUUGAUUAAGUUUGAGUUAGGGGUGUAACUCAAAAAUGUUACUAUUCAUGAGUUACUUUUAUUUUUUUGAGUUACAAUGUAUUAUAUAUGAGUUGCAAUU